GCUUGGCUAGCUUAGUUGUUAAAGUAUUAGACUCUUAAUCUCAGGGUUGUGGGUUCGAGACCCAUAUUGGGUG